AUUGAACGCUGGCGGCAUGCUUUACACAUGCAAGUCGAACGGUAACAGGCCUUCGGGUGCUGACGCGUGGCGAACGGGUGAGUAAGGCAUCGGAACGUACCCAGAGGUGGGGGAUAACGCAGCGAAAGCUGUGCUAAUACCGCAUGUGAUCUGAGGAUGAGAGCGGAGGACCGAGCAGCAAUGUUUGGCCUCGCGCCUUUGGAGCGGCCGAUGUCGGAUUAGCUAGUUGGGGGGGUAAAGGCCUACCAAGGCGACGAUCCGUAGCUGGUGUGAGAGGACGACAACCGACCUGGGGACUGAGCCAGCCCCCAGAGUCCUGCGGUACGGAGCAGUGGGGUAUUGUGGACAGCGGUCGCGAGCAUGAUCCAGCGAUGGCGCGUGUGGGAAGAAGGCCCUCGGGUUGUAAUCCGGUUCUUGCAGGAACGAAACGGUUUCCGCUAAUACCGGGCGCUAAUGACGGUACCUGCAGAAUAAGCACCGGCUAACUACGUG
rnacentral:rRNA from 1 species